rnacentral:tRNA from 1 species
GGAAGGGAUACGUUCCCGGUGGGACGGCCGGACUUCAAAUCCGGUUGAGGUUGCGUGGCAAUCUUGCGUGGGUUCGACUCCCAUUCUCUUCCGCCA